rnacentral:rRNA from 1 species
CAGCAGCCGCGGUAAUACGAAGGGGGCUAGCGUUGCUCGGAAUUACUGGGCGUAAAGGGCGCGUAGGCGGACAGUUAAGUCAGAGGUGAAAGCCCAGGGCUCAACCUUGGAACUGCCUUUGAUACUGGCUGUCUAGAGUGCGGGAGAGGUGUGUGGAACUCCGAGUGUAGAGGUGAAAUUCGUAGAUAUUCGGAAGAACACCAGUGGCGAAGGCGACACACUGGCCCGUAACUGACGCUGAGGCGCGAAAGCGUGGGGAGCAAACAGGACUAGAGACCCGCGUAGUCCCUGUCUCUUAUAC